rfam:Nicotiana sylvestris Nsyl_contig26834, whole genome shotgun sequence.
GGAGAGAUGACCAAGUGGUUGAAGGCAUAGCAUUGAAACUGCUAUGUAGUCUUUUGUUUAUCGAGGGUUCGGAUCCCUCUCUUUCCG